UACGAAGGGGGCUAGCGUUGCUCGGAAUCACUGGGCGUAAAGGGUGCGUAGGCGGGUCUUUUAAGUCAGGGGUGAAAUCCUGGAGCUCAACUCCAGAACUGCCUUUGAUACUGAAGAUCUUGAGUUCGGGAGAGGUGAGUGGAACUGCGAGUGUAGAGGUGAAAUUCGUAGAUAUUCGCAAGAACACCAGUGGCGAAGGCGGCUCACUGGCCCGAUACUGACGCUGGGCGC
rnacentral:rRNA from 1 species